ensembl:misc_RNA Metazoa_SRP Metazoan signal recognition particle RNA
GCUGGGCAUGGUGGCGGGUGCCUGUAAUCCCAGCUACUUGGGAGGCUGAGGCAGGAGAAUUGCUUGAACCCAGGAAGUGGAGGUUGCAGUGAGCCGAGAUCACGCCACUGCACUCCAGCCUGGGUGAUAAAGCAAGACUCCAUCUUAA